rnacentral:lncRNA from 10 species
GAAGACUAUGAAACUAUUAUACAUAUUUGAAGUAUAGUUAUAGGUUAUGUUAGUUACUUUUAAUAAAUUUAAUGAUUAGUUUGACUGUUGACUAGGCAUAUACAAUUAAGUAGAAACGACACAAAACACUGAGUGAAUAAUUCUAAAAAGGCUUAGGAGGCUCUUUUCACUGUCCAUGAAAUCAUCUUGUGGCCUCUUGAAUCAGCUAUGCACAAGGCACCAACAUAUCUACGUCGCACCAUAAAGAUUCCACAGUCUUCCAUUCCCACAGGUGGCCUCAAACCUGGGUAGCAGCUGCUGGCUGGGAUCAUUCCUGCACAGCUCCUCCAGGCUCCCAGAUUUUUUCAUCUACUUCUAUGGUUCUCUAAUAGCAACAUUUUUCAACUAUUAAUUUACUUUUAUUCAAAAUGAUCCAACAGACACCCCCCAAGAUUUAAUAUUUACGUUCAUAUAUAUAUAUUUGGAGACAGAGUCUUGCUCUGUCACCCAGGCUGGAAGUCCAGUGGUAUAAUCUCGGCUCACUGCACCCUUCACCUCCCGGGUUCAAGCAGUUCUCUGCCUCAGCCUCCCAAGUAGCUGGGACUACAGGCGCACGCUGCCACGCCCGGCUAAUUUUUUGGUUUUUUGUAGAGAUGGGGUUUCACCGUGUUGCCCGGGUUGGUCUCGAACUCCUGAGCUCAGGCAAUCCACCCACCUU